CGGGGUAUGGCGCAGUCUGGUAGCGCGCACCCUUGGGGUGGGUGAGGCCGUGGGUUCAAAUCCCGCUACUCCGA
rnacentral:ncRNA from 10 species